AUUGAACGCUGGCGGCAUGCCUUACACAUGCAAGUCGAACGGUAACAGGUCUUCGGAUGCUGACGAGUGGCGAACGGGUGAGUAAUACAUCGGAACGUGCCUAGUAGUGGGGGAUAACUACUCGAAAGAGUGGCUAAUACCGCAUGAGAUCUACGGAUGAAAGCAGGGGAUCGCAAGACCUUGUGCUACUAGAGCGGCCGAUGGCAGAUUAGGUAGUUGGUGGGAUAAAAGCUUACCAAGCCGACGAUCUGUAGCUGGUCUGAGAGGACGAUCAGCCACACUGGGACUGGGACACGGCCCAGACUCCUACGGGAGGCAGCAGUGGGGAAUUUUGGACAAUGGGCGCAAGCCUGAUCCAGCAAUGCCGCGUGCAGGAUGAAGGCCUUCGGGUUGUAAACUGCUUUUGUACGGAACGAAAAGCCCCGGGUUAAUACCCUGGGGUCAUGACGGUACCGUAAGAAUAAGCACCGGCUAACUACGUGCCAGCCGCCGCCGUAA
rnacentral:rRNA from 1 species